rnacentral:pre_miRNA from 1 species
AGUGGAAUUGCUGGGUCAUUUGGUAAUUCUAUGUUUAACUUUUUGAGGAAUCACCAUACUAUUUUCUACAGUGACUGCACCAUUUUACAUUCCCACCAGCAAU